AAUGAGAGAGGAAGAAGAAGAGGAAGAGGGAGGAGAAAAAGACUCUGCUUUUUCCGAUGAAAUUUCAGCUUCUUGUGCGUCUGAUUCACGUUUGGGCAGUCCACUUUUCCCUUUUUUGGGCGUGUUUUUCUCCUUUUUUUCUUUUUUUUU
rnacentral:ribozyme from 13 species